AUUAUAUUUUCGUGUGAUUAUACUAUUCUGUUUAAAGGUAGCAAUGUAUUUCGAGUUACUGGAAGUAUUGGGUAGAUGUUAGAACUGGUAGAAAGUUAGUCUUUGGACGAAAAUAAAAGAUUUUUCGGUCAAUUUCAAUUUUUUUUUUUUCAAAUGAACCUCCCUCCCCCUUUGUUGUAGUUUUUGGUUUUCAACAAGCAAUAUUUUCAAUUCACUUAAUAUACAAAGAAAUGAACAUGAGCACCAUUAGGAAUAAAACAAAUUGACUAAGGUGUUAUAUAGGAGGCCCUGAUACUAAAUGAUUAAAAUUUAUCAAUACAGGAAUAAACUUCCAUAUACUUGGCAGUAAAACCAAAUCUUGUCGUCCAUAGCAGAGCAUGUCUGUGAUGUUAUGUGGAUUGGAGUAAUGAACCAUAUAGUGGGCUGAAGCAAGGUCAGCUGAAAUACAAAGGACAUGGGGUUAUAAAAUGCUGCCAUCUCAAAGAACAUAGUGUCUCCAAAAACAUGGGGCAGAGUGAGCAAAUGUCUAGUCAGAAGAGUCGGGGGUAGGGCAUUUUGACUAGCCAGUGCAUUCAAAUGACUUUUCUUGUCUUCAUUUAGCUAGCUAAAGACAAAAGAAUUGGUAUAUUCCAGGUUGAGAGAGAGACAUUUGCUGCAAAAGAACUACCAUAAAAGACAACUGAAGACAUUAUAUCUCCACAAGCAUCUUGGAAAAAAAAUAGUAAUUGCCACACAUGGAGAGGGAGGGACCCUAAGACUGUUACCAUACAGGUGGCUAUAUCCUGUGAUAUGCAAGUGCCUGCAUUGUAGUCUUCAACUUGCUCUGCAAAAUAUAAUCUAUUGCUGUAUGCGUCACACCAUGCCUGUAUUAAAGAACAUGCUUGCAGAGGACAAUAGCUAGUCAGAGGCAGGGUAGUGGCAUAUUCAAGAAGACAGCACUGUCUCUAACACUGUUCACGUUUUUAAACUCUUCUUCACAGCCAUGAGCACUAGAAACAAACAAAAGCUUAGAGGUUAGAGCAGAGUUCUGCAGCAAUUGGUGGAUUCCAUGACAGAUCCCACAGUGAAAUACUAGAAUACAUGGGGACAUGUUGAUAGCAUAUGCUUUCAAAACUGCUGCAAUCAAUCAGUCAGAUUCUAAACCACACUGCUUCAUCUGACUUCCCUCCCACAUCAGUCACACGUCAUCUGACAGUGUGGUGGCUGGUAAGGACAAAGCCUGGGAAAAGCAUUUUUAGUACCCAUUAUAUCUUUGGCUGAGGACGAGGCCAUCAACAGAGUGACCUACUGGCAAGCCAUUUUCUUCAUCGGAAGCCCAGGAAAUCCAGUGGCAGUCUAACUUUUAAGGGCAGAUGAUCCAAAAAUGUGUUUUAUCCUGACAGGAAACAUGCUACUGAAUCUCAAAGUGGAAGAGAGAAUAAUCUGUCCAUGACAAAAGUAUAACUAUCAUCUAUUACCUCCAAUCCUGCCCCCAAAACAAGCAAUAUUUUUAUUUAUAUGUAGCAAACACUGCACCAGCUUCCUGUAUGCCUGUGAUGAUCUUGCCUAUGUAUUAUACAGGGUCACUUAUAAACUUGUAAAUAUUCCUAUAAAAUUAUUUUUAAAGAGGUAUUUUGUAAACUAGUUUACUCAACUUUUGUAUCAUCCCUUCUCUAAAAAGAUACAGAAACUAGCUAAUUUAAAGGUCUGGUAUAUUCCGAGAGAUUAGCACCAUGUGAAAAAAGCACUGUUGCCACAAGUAUUGCUGUUGCAAUAAAUACUUUGAAACCU